ACGAGGGCGCACAAACUGCCGGCAACGAUUUUUGUUUGUAAGGACACAGUGUCCUUCCAUAGUCGUGCGAGGUCGAAUCCUCGGCUCCCUCCCUUCGACACCACCGACGGUGUGUCGAGGUCGAUCCGUCGAUGUCGCCCCCUCUCCCGCACCAGACCCCACGGAGAAGUCCGAGCCUCCUCCAUUGGCCUGCGAGCGUGGCGAUGACAAGCGCUAGAGGAACCGUUGCUGCUUGGCUCCUCCGCUGUCUCAGGGUCAUCGCGCCACCACCAUGUUGUCGCGCUCCUAUUCUCCGCGGCCCUCCACGGCUCGGCGCUGAUGAGGACCGACGGGAUCCCCGCCACUGCUUCCUCCACCCAGCGGCGAGAGCUGUGCCCGCUCUUCACUACGCCGGCGCACCACGCUGCUCAGAUCCGUCAUGGUGGAAACCCGAUACAGGUGGCCUUCCUUCAGAUCUUUUUUGGUUUCUGUCAAAUUUGUCAGCUGCUCAGAGGAGGUGAGGCUGUUAUUCUUUUUUGUUUGAUGGGAGUUAUUCCCAACUUAUUGUUUGGUCGAUUUUGUUCCUGCUACCAUGGACAGCCAGCCACCAUGGCCUCUGAACUUUUGGCUGUUCGUGAGCUUGGAGAGCUGACACUUCGCUUUUUUGUGCCUAUAUUUGGCCACAUUGUUUCUUAGCAAAUAUUCAUCAUCUAACAUUAUACAUAUGAUUCUCUGUUUUGCCACUGCAGAGGAAGUGAGUAGAAUACGUAGGGAAAAAGAAGAAGGAAACAACAGUCUUGCAAGCUAAUAAAGAAACAGUAGCUUGCUCACAAAAUUUCUAUGAGUGCACACAGUUUUCGCCGAACGACUCCACCGGCGACCACCAUCCUCCGUGGAACGCCUUCCCUCAUCGCGAGCUAGCGUACUCUCCGAGCAGGCCUCCUCCCGGCAAGCUUCACCGAGCACCAACCUGCGGGUCCACAUCCUCUGCAAUGAAGCAACCGAGCAUCUACCCUCCGCAACGUUCUUCCCCUGGAUCAAUAGCGCUGCCUCCUUUUCCCCUUUAUUUGUCAGGUUUCCCUACAGAAGUUGAUGGGGGUUUCGAAGAUCUUCAAGAUGCUGAAGAUUUGGGAGAUUCGGAAGAUCUUUAAGCUGUUGAAGAUAUGGUAGAGUGAUUAUGCUUUGUUUGUGGAACCUAUACACUUGCUCUGCUCAUUUUGCCGGUUGUUAGGCCACAAUAUGCUCAUUUUGGUUGUGUGGCACCCCAGAAACAUAUGUUCUUUUGUGGCACACAUGUAGAAACAUAUAUGUAUUGUACCUUUUGUGGCACAACCUGCUUAUAUAUAUAUGGUUGUUAUGUUAAUUUAUCGAAUUGACUUUAAGGUUUUGGA